CACAGAAGAAAUGGCAUCUGUAUAAAAGGCUGUUAAAGGAAAGAGACUUUUACUGUGGGACUUUGAUUUUGAUAAGUGCAAUUCCUGACCUUUCCAGGAGCUGCGUUCUUGUUCACUACCUGCUGUGUUAUAGUUGUAAUACUGAGAGAACGUCAGCGGUUUAAAUAUAAGUUUCUCCUGCCUGUCAUUCUGGUUUAUCGUUGGUGAUUUGGUGUUAAAGUGCAAGUACAUGACUAACUAUGAUUUAAUACACUUUGAAAAAGAAGCUCCCAUCUCCUCAUAAUGUUUUGACACACAAUGACCACAAAGACAUUAACCCACCUUUAUGCAACUGAGGUGCUUGCUGGCCACUGCCCAGUUAGCGUCGACUGCCUCUGGUGACUUAAACAGGUAAAUGCCAUCAAUGUCAAGGCUGGCUGGUCCCUGGAACUCAGCAAGGAUGGACUCUAUCACCAAAGCAGUCUCCUGUAACACAACCCUUUUGGAGGUGAAUAAAGAAUUUGGCUCUGUUUGAUCACAACGGUAGUGGCAGAUGUCCAGCCUGAUGAAGGUACCUCUCUUCACCCAGUUUCCAAACCGAUUCUCCAAGAACAACGGACUGCUGUCACUGAAAAUAAUAUCAUGAUAUUUUGUGUAGGUGUGUUACAUGUUGGAUUAUCCAUUUCAUCAUAGGUUUCAACUGCUCUUUGAAAUCACCGACAGCAGUUGUUGUUCGCGUACACCACCUUCAGGGCAGGAGCUUUGGCACAGCGAAAACAAGACCUCUGGCCAUGCGUGCGUAACACCCCUUGGACGCCACAACCACUGUGGUCAAGAACUGACCCCACUUAUUCAGCAUGCUGGUGACGUACUGCAUAAUGCCCUGGCCGUCGCCGUAGAUCUUCUUGAGAAUCUAUGAGGCUGUUUAUACUUGGCAUUAGCAUGCGUUUUCAUCGAUCGGAGCACAAGUGGACGACGGUAAUGCCAGGUGUAAACGGUGUUCAAAAUGUUUUGAGCUCGUCCAGUUUCGACCACUUUCAACCACAUUCAGAGGUAGUCGAAAACCCUUUCGAUUGGAUUGCUUUUGUAGUGUAAACGCACAUGUGGUUGUAUAUGUUCGAACAGCCACACGCGACCACCUUCUCUCUGCCCAUUUAUCUAAUCUGAGGUACUAAACUCAAUUUUUUACGUCUUUUCUGACUUCUUGCGCGAACACACGGUGUACAGCACUAUUAUUGAUAAAACUAAAGCGGCUGAUCUCCGCAGUUUCAUUUUGCAAGCAUGUGAAAGUUGUACGAUCAUAUUUCAUCAAUUGCGCUUAAAAUUCAGAGAAAGCUCUAACAAAUACAUGUACAAAACACUGUGCAGCAUGUUUACUUACAACAAAAGCAGUGGAUUCAGACAUAAUAUUAGUUUGUGUCCAUAUAAACUCGCCAUUCCUCCCGCUCACAUUUAAAUGACAGGAGAUGGACUCAACAGACCACCCCCUCACAGUAUUCAGGACAGAAGUGGUAAAAAGUGGUGAAAGAGACGGAUAUAAAUACCAGGUGUAAACGUAAUGUGUCUCUCUCGUCCACUUGUGAUCCGAUCGAUGAAAACACAUCUUAACACAAAGUGUAAACAGCCCCUAUAAAAAUAAAGCAGAACGUGUGGUGUUUAUCAACAGUCAGUCUGUUCCAUAUGAUCACAAGAACUUUUGGCUAUACAUACCUUAAUCGUGCCAUCAAUGCACAAGAUUUCCCCAGUCGUACUGAGGAUUUGGUCCCUGUACACGGGUAUCUUCUCCAUCUCCAGGAUCGCCUCAGGACCCGAGCAGAUGGAAGUGGAGACAGGGCGAUGGGAGGGGUGUAAGUGCCAGCUGCUCUGGCAAACGAAAGGAUACCUCGCUGAGAUGAAGAUGGUGGGCAUCAUACAGGAGAGUCUGGUACAGGUCCCGACGUUCCACGUACCACUCGUCGUGGCCCUGCUCUGUAGCAGCCUCUGCACUUUACUCAUUGAGACUGCGUUGAGUCGGUCGCUCAUCAGGGUGACCACACUCCUGUCCACAGCACACUUGCCGCAGAUUAUGGCAGGGAACAUGCUUCUGACGGCCGGGGUGAGGUUCAUCAGAUUUUUGGACUGUACGCCAGCCAGGCGUACUGCUGCUGGGCAGCAUGGUGGGCCCCGUCUUCCUCGUCGUUGUCUCACCCCCCGACCUUUCUACAGCUCACCCCCGGACCUCUUGGCAGCCGCCACUGCUGUCUUGCGAUCCAGCCAUGUAGGGUCAACAACGGUGCUGGGGGCCUCUGCCACAGACUUUGCUGCCUCUGUACACUGCAGCCUGGCCUCUCCUUGCUGGUACAAAACGAUGUUGGGGUACUUGUGUUGCUGUUGAUUGCUGACCAGCAAUGAUUUGGUGGUCAAGCUCUUCCUGCAGACAUCACAGUCAAUCUCCCUGACGACGGCAUGGAUCUUCAGAUGCCUCGUCAGGUUGGACUUUUCGGUGAAAGUCUUGUCGCACACACUGCACCGAUGUCUAGGCUUCUCCAUGUUUCAUUUGGUACAGUAAAACAUAAAUAAAUGAGUAGAACUAAAAGCAGAUGAGGGCUUAAAUACAUUUUUAGAGACGCUGCAGCACUCGUAAAAGUAGUAAUGGAAAACAGCCCAUUCAUUCACUUUGUUUUAAGCAUGCAAAUCAAGGUUGACAUGUUUACACUUCUAAAGCAUAUUUACACAUCGAAUUUCAAUUCCCCAUUGUUGUAACACCAUUCUAUGCACUGCAAAAAAUGAAUGUCUGUCUUAGUAUUUUUGUCUUGUUUUCUAAUAUAAAUAUCUAAAUAGAGAUACAUUUACUUGAUAAGCAAGUAGCCUAAGUAUAAACGAUGAAAAUCAAGAGUUUUUUUACUUCAUCUGCUAGUGCAGUAAGAAACAUAAGCUUAAUUCCAGUUUCAACUUAAUUCAAUAAACUUAAUUUAAGCUGAUUUUUCUUAAACAAAUGUAAGAAUUUAUGUUAGAAAACAAGACAAAAAUACAAAGUAAAACAUUCAUUUUUUGCAGUGUGGUCUUAAGAAGUGUCUGAUCAUGUUUUUGAAGUAUUUCCAGGGAUCGUUAGGUCAUUGCAGCAGCGAUUAGUAGCUGAUUAAUUCAUUUUCAAUGCAUUCGGUUAAUAAAUAAUAUAUAUUAUAUACAGUUUUUCCCUGUUGCUUAAACACUAUAGACCCAUGCUUAGACUAAAGUAACACAACUUAAAGCUUUUGAUACCAUACCUCAAACACAUGUACUCAUACUUUAAACCAAAGCGCUGCUUUGCACUCUAGUUGAAAUUCUGCAACACACUUACCCCUUUAUGCAACACACUUGAUCCUGCAAACUACUCACUAUUUCAUACAUAAGACACUUCAUUCAAAAAUGAAAUCUCAGGGUGCCAUUUGGAAAACACAAAACACAUGGGGUAAUUGAAACCACUCAAAUACACACCUAAAGGCACUCACUUGCAAAACUGAACACCAAUCAACCAGCUACAAAAAAGUCCUCAUUUUAGCCAUUUCAAGAACUUUGCAAGCAUGGAUUGAGGGAGAGCAAGAGGCAGAGGUAGAGCAAGAGGAAGAUGAGGACAAGGUCAAGGUCGAAGAGUCCAUGCACGGACCCUUAUUUCUGAUGAUAUAAGAGCAACUUUGGUGGACCAUGUCAUCAACCAUGGCCUGACUAUGAGGGAAGCUGGGCAGAGAGUCCACCCACAUCUAAGCAAUCACAGGGGUAUCUGUAAUAAGAACAUUCCGACUAGAAAACAGAGAAUCUUGGCCAUGGAUGGAGCUGUACAGCCUCAAGUACCUAGCGGGAGAAGACAUUGCUUGCGAUGUCGAUGAGGUCCUGUGGCCAGACCCCAACAGACGGCGGGAUCCAUGAGCCCACGUAUGCACAAUUGCCAUGAUUUUCUGUGUUUACAGUGUAGUGUUUUUUCAAUUUUCUUUUUUUUGCUUUAACUGGAUUCACGUAACUGUAAUGUACAGUGCUGCAAUGUACAAUAUUGAGUAGGCCUACUUGCUUUUUUGGUUGUUUGAAAAUGUGCCUCCUGAAAAUAUGUCUUCUGAAUAAACAGUAAAAAUCAAAGACUGCAGUGUUUUACAUAAAGUAGACUAGUGUGUUCCCCCUGAUCUGAAAUGUAUAUAUAUGAUGCAAGUGUGUGUCAUUUUGUCAUUAGAGUUACAUUUUGACAAAGGAAUGUUAGGUUUUGAUAGGAGAGUUUAGGUUUUGAUAGUAGAGUUUCAAUUUGACACAGAUGUGAAUGGUAUAUUUCCCAGUGUAGUGUCAUGUUUACUUGUGUGUAGAGUUUUGGCACAAUGAGCGAAGUUUUGCGAAAUGUGUUCAAGCAACGGGCUAAAACUGCAUAUAAGCAUAUUUAAACUUUACAUUUCGAGUCCAUACAACAGUGUGCACCUGGCUUAAGAGAUCAAACAACCAGCUUUACACUUUUUCGGCUACCAACCGCCCUUCUGCCCCUGGUAGGAUGAACCUUGGAUGUCCAUCAGUCAACCAUUGGUUCGGUGAGAGGGUAUGGGACUCAGCUUCAAUCAUUUGCAUCAGAAGACACAAGGGCAGCAGAUACACGUCGUACACGGAUAAGGAAUAUCAUUACAGUUUUAUUUCAAUUGCUAAACGACAGUGGGCACAACUGGAGUCACAUGUGCAAAACUCUAACUAGUUUGCACAGCAGCAGUUCAUGUGGACCAAACUCUAGUUCGUUUUUCAUUGCUUGAACACAGUUUUCAAAACUCUGCACACUUAUCCCAUGACUUAAACACAACGUGCACAACACACUGGAUUUACAGCACUUUGUUCAAAUCCUAACACACUGCUGUCAAAACUGAACCACACAUUCAAAACAGAAUUGAUUUCAGCCUUGUGCCUUUCCAAAACUGCUGAUUGCAAUUUCAGCUGAAAGGCUAAGCUAAGGUCUCUUGAUUGAGACUUGUUAGUGGGCCAUGUACUUUUAGU